rnacentral:rRNA from 1 species
AUUGAACGCUGGCGGCAUGCUUUACACUGCAAGUCGAACGGUAACAGGGAGCUUGCUCCGCUGACGAGUGGCGAACGGGUGAGUAAUAUAUCGGAACGUACCCAAGAGUGGGGGAUAACGUAGCGAAAGUUACGCUAAUACCGCAUACGAUCUAAGGAUGAAAGCAGGGGAUCUUCGGACCUUGUGCUCCUGGAGCGGCCGAUAUCUGAUUAGCUAGUUGGUGAGGUAAAGGCUCACCAAGGCGACGAUCAGUAGCUGGUCUGAGAGGACGACCAGCCAACCUGGAACUGAGACACGGUCCAGACUCCUACGGGAGGCAGCAGUGGGGAAUUUUGGACAAUGGGCGCAAGCCUGAUCCAGCAAUGCCGCGUGAGUGAAGAAGGCCUUCGGGUUGUAAAGCUCUUUUGUCAGGGAAGAAACGGGAGUGGCUAAUAUCCAUUCCUAAUGACGGUACCUGAAGAAUAAGCACCGGCUAACUACGUGCCAGCAGCCGCGGUAA